GACGAACGCUGGCGGCGUGCUUAACACAUGCAAGUCGAACGGAAAGGCCCUGCUUUUGUGGGGUGCUCGAGUGGCGAACGGGUGAGUAACACGUGAGUAACCUGCCCUUGACUUUGGGAUAACUUCAGGAAACUGGGGCUAAUACCGGAUAGGAGCUCCUGCUGCAUGGUGGGGGUUGGAAAGUUUCGGCGGUUGGGGAUGGACUCGCGGCUUAUCAGCUUGUUGGUGGGGUAGUGGCUUACCAAGGCUUUGACGGGUAGCCGGCCUGAGAGGGUGACCGGCAACAUUGGGAAUGAGAUACGGCCCAGACUCCGACGGGAGGCAGCAGGGGGGAAUAUUGCACAAGGGGCGGAAGCCUGAUGCAGCAACGCCGCGUGCGGGAUGACGGCCUUCGGGUUGUAAACCGCUUUCGCCGGUGACGAAGGGGGAGUGACGGUAAUGGGUAAAGAAGCACCGGCUAACUACGUG
rnacentral:rRNA from 1 species